CUAGUGUUAGCUCUCAUGCUAAAUAUUGUACAAUUGGAUUGAAAUUGAUAGUUAUAUUAAUAUUGGAUAAGCACCCUGCUGGCUGGGCACCCCUACAUGGGCGCCACAAUCCUGGUUAGGCGUUUUUGGGGAUUUUUCAAAGUAACAACAUUGUUGGACGUUAGAGCUUGGGAAUCGAGUUGGAUUGGAUAAUUAUAUGGAUCGAAAGUGACAAACUACUGAGAAGCUGGCAAUAAUGAAGGCUAAUGGUGGAAGCCAAUUAUUCAUUUAUUUUUCUAUGGGUUCUAUAAUGUCUGAUCCAUGGAUUAGAAUCGAUGGUCCUGUUCCAUUAUUUAAUUUUACAAUUUAACUUUAGGGUUUCUAUGUGGAUGCUUGGAUACCGAAUGUACUUCGCAUCGCUGGGCCCUGCGGCUUGCGAUCGGCUCUCCGGAGGCACUGGUUCACAUUUAGUAGAUAUCAAAAGCACGGAGGUGGUGCAUUCCUUAUUGGGGGAUGCUUUGGAGGAUAUUCACAUUACAACAGGGAAGCACGAGCAAAAUUCUUACUAAUUGUAUGAUCGGCCAGAUCUAGAAAGACGCCGACAAUGUCCCCGGGUCCGCACUGUUUACCGAAGGAUUCACUGACGCCACCAGACACUUUCUCUUCCUAAAAUGUUGAAUUGCAAGUGACAGAUUGAGAUUAAGUGGCCUGAACACCUGACACAGAUCGUUCCCUA